UACGAAGGGGGCUAGCGUUGCUCGGAAUCACUGGGCGUAAAGCGCACGUAGGCGGAUUGUUAAGUCAGGGGUGAAAUCCUGGAGCUCAACUCCAGAACUGCCUUUGAUACUGGCGAUCUCGAGUCCGGAAGAGGUGAGUGGAACUCCGAGUGUAGAGGUGAAAUUCGUAGAUAUUCGGAAGAACACCAGUGGCGAAGGCGGCUCACUGGUCCGGUACUGACGCUGAGGUGCGAAAGCGUGGGGAGCAAACAGG
rnacentral:rRNA from 1 species